UGCUUAACACAUGCAAGUCGAACGGAAUUUUUAAUUUCGUGGCGAACGGGUGAGUAAUCGCAGAAUUUUACCUUUUAGUCCAAAUAAAAAUUUUUAUAAAAAAUUAAAUGUUGGAUAAUUUUAAAAGGUUAUUUUUUUCCGCUAAAAGAUAAAUCUGCUUAAGAUUAGGUUGUUGGUAAUUUAAAAGCUUACCAAGCCUAUGAUCUUUAGUUGGUCUGAGAGGAUGAUCAACCACACUAGAACUGAAAUAAGGUCUAGGCUGACUUGUCGGCCAGCAGUGAGGAAUAUUGGACAAUGGACGAAAGUCUGAUCCAGCAAUACUAACUGGGUGAUGACGGCUUAUAUAAGUUG
rnacentral:rRNA from 1 species